AUGCAUCAGGGGACAGCUUGAACACGUGUUUAUUCUUCUCCCUACCUUGAGAUAUUUUUUCAGUUGGGACACAUCUGACUGUUUCCCCCAUUCUUUAUAAGCUAUCUAGUGCAUUUAACAAGCUACAAGGUACUCUGCUGUAAGAUUGGACCUAUCCACAGCUCAUGGGCAGAGAGGCUCCAAUGACCAAUUAUAACAGCAGUUACAAGAGGCUGCUCAUGAGACUUUGUUCUCUGAGCUAGGCUGGCAAAGUGAGGCAAAUCUCUGACCUUCUGAAGGCUAAAACUUGACCUUUUAAUGCCUCGCCCUGACCAGCUGGCCAGAAGGGGACAAAUACAGAGCAGGUUUAGUGAUGGUAAAUAAUUCCAGGUCUUGUUUGUAUAUAUUGUGUGCUCCACCUAUAAAGACCACCUUCAAAAGGAAGGAGAGAGGAGUGGGAGGAGGCAGCAAUGGCCAGAGCCCUGAGAGAAGGACACAUAUAUAUCUCUUCUGAGCUGUGUACUGCCUGGGGAUAUUUCCUGGUCCAAACUCAGAUGGCUUCUUUAAAGAACUGAGAGAUGAAGAAUGACUUCAGCGGGUGUGGUCUGGUCACCAUGCUUAAGGAGAGUUGGAGUGACUAUCAAAGUAAUGUUAACAACAAGAUGUUCUGAAAGGAGGUUUGCCACGUUCACAUGCCUAAAGCUGCUUUCAGUGGCUCUCUGUUUGUUUCUGAAGACUAUCAUCCUAUUCAAGAAACGAGAGGAAACCCUCUAUUAGCUCAUCUGAACUCCUUUGCAAGCCUUUGAAGAGGUAACUCUGGGGCCCAGGAAAAUCCUACAUGUGACUACUGUAAAGAAGACAAUAAAGUGCAACCUGCCCUCCAGAAGUCCAAAUCAUGCUCUUGGGUGUGUCUUACUCAUUCCAAGCAUCUUUCUAUUAACCUGUCUAUUUAAAUCUGUGUUUAAACUCUCCUUUUAAUAAUAAACUCCAACUCUUCUCA